AUGGCCGAGAGACCCUAUAAAUAGAACCCCUUUGUAUAAUCCUGCUACAGUGAACAGAGGAACUAGUAGGACACUAAAUACUGAGACACAGGCUUCCACUUCCUGUUCUCGCGUUAUUGAGAUGAGGGAAAGCAUGGCAAUACAACAAACUGACCAAGAACAUGUAAAUUCUAGUGUUCCUACUCUCCAAGUUGCAUCCUUUGCUUCUAUAGUGAAUGGGAAUACAUCUACAUCGAAUAUGGAUAAAAAUUCGAAGUCAGAAAAACAAAGGAAUGCAAACAAUAUAGAAAACAAUAUCUAACAUAACUUCCUUGAUGUAUUACUUGGACAUCACCCCUUUUUAUGUGGUAUUUUUAUGUGUGAUGUAGGAAUGAGUGUCUAGAUUACCACAUUUGUUUUAAGCUGGAAACGUGUUUUAUUACGUAGGCUUUAAUAAUAAGACAAAAUUAUGAAAGCCAUGAAAAUGCUAAGCUUCUUACAACUGCAAAAAUAUUAGCUUGUUUGUUUUCCACUGGCUAAUCCUCACUGGAUUUGAGAUGUAUGCAGCUGAGGGCAACUGCCCAUUCUUUUUUGAGUGAUAUUUACAAAGAUUCAAUGCUAAGUACAUUUCCAUGGAGACAAGCUGUCUGCAGGUGCAAGCAGGUUUUCUUUUCUAUAAAUAUAUUUUUACUUAUUUUCACAAACAACAUAUAUACAUCUAUUUUUUUCAACAAAAUAGUUACAUACUCUGUGUUUAAAGUGAAAAACAAUUACAAAAGAAAACAUUACAAAACCAACUAUUUACAAAGGAUGUCUAUGCUUGAGAUAGCUCUGCUUCUUUGUGUGUAUCUUUGAAUAAAAUUAUAAUGUAAUACA